rnacentral:misc_RNA from 1 species
GAUGAAGAACGUAGCGAAAUGCGAUAAGUAGUGUGAAUUGCAGAAUUCAGUGAAUCAUCGAAUCUCUGAACGCACAUUGCGCCCCUUGGUAUUCCAUGGGGCAUGCCUGUUCGAGCGUCAUUUGUACCUUCAAGCUUUGCUUGGUGUUGGGUGUUUGUCUCGCCUUUGCGUGUAGACUCGCCUUAAAAUAAUUGGCAGCCGGCGUAUUGAUUUCGGAGCGCAGUACAUCUCGCGCUUUGCACUCAUAACGACAGCGUCCAAAAGUACAUUUUACACUCUUGACCUCGGAUCAGGUAGGGAUACCCGCUGAACUUAAGCAUAUCAAUAAGCGGAGGA